CUCGGGGUACCUCAGCGGCAGAGGGCCUGGCUCCUACCGGGUCGGCGCAGGUUCGAGUCCUGCCCCCGAGC
rnacentral:tRNA from 1 species